CAUGGUGAGCUCUGGAUAUACCUGAUCUCGUCUGAUCCUGGAAGCUAAGUAAGGCUGGGCUUGGUCAGUAGCUACAUGGGAGAUCGCCAGAUCAGGCAUCAGGC
rnacentral:rRNA from 1 species